rnacentral:rRNA from 1 species
UACGGAGGAUGCGAGCGUUAUCCGGAUUUAUUGGGUUUAAAGGGUGCGUAGGCGGGCUUUUAAGUCAGCGGUAAAAAUUCGGGGCUCAACCCCGUCCGGCCGUUGAAACUGGGGGUCUUGAGUGGGCGAGAAGAAGGCGGAAUGCGUGAUGUAGCGGUGAAAUGCAUAGAUAUCACGCAGAACCCCGAUUGCGAAGGCAGCCUUCCGGCGCCCUACUGACGCUGAGGCACGAAAGUGCGGGGAUCGAACAGG